rnacentral:rRNA from 1 species
UACGUAGGAGGCGAGCGUUGUCCGGAGUUACUGGGCGUAAAGGGCGCGUAGGCGGCCACCGCAAGUCGACUGUGAAAUCUCCGGGCUUAUCUCGGAAAGGUCAGCCGAUACUGCGGGGCUAGAGUGCAGAAGGGGCAACUGGAAUUCUCGGUGUAGCGGUGAAAUGCGUAGAUAUCGAGAGGAACACCUGCGGCGAAGGCGGGUUGCUGGGCUGACACUGACGCUGAUUGUGCGAAAGCAUGGGGAGCGAACAGG